rnacentral:rRNA from 1 species
UACGUAGGUGGCGAGCGUUGUCCGGAUUUACUGGGCGUAAAGGGCUCGUAGGCGGCCAACUAAGUCGGACGUGAAAUCCCCAGGCUCAACCUGGGAACUGCGUCCGAUACUGGAUGGCUUGAAUCCGGGAGAGGGAUGCAGAAUUCCAGGUGUAGCGGUGAAAUGCGUAGAUAUCGGGAGGAACACCAGCGGCGAAGGCGGGCAUCUGGGCUAACACUGACGCUGAGGCGCGAAAGCUAGGGGAGCGAACGGG